rnacentral:rRNA from 1 species
AAAGACUCUACCAGGUCAGCCUGCCCGGUGAAAAAUUUAACGGCCACGGUUACCCUAACCGUGCGAAGGUAGCAUAAUCACUUGUUCUCUAAAUGGGGACUUGUAUCAACGGCAUCACGAGGGUUACACUGUCUCCUUUCUCCAAUCAGUGAAACUGAUCUCCCCGUGAAGAAGCGGGGAUAAGAAUAUAAGACGAGAAGACCCCAUGGAGCUUUAAGCUCAACAACACCUCUACAAUAUACCCCCUCUUAAACUACGAGACCUGUCUGUUAGCUUUAGGUUGGGGUGACCGCGGAGUAUAAUAUAACCUCCACGACUGACGGGACUAACCCCUUAUCCAAGAGCCACUGCUCUAAGAAUCAUUAAUUUGAUGUAAAAUGAUCCGUUCUUCGAUCAACGAACCAAGUUACCCUGGGGAUAACAGCGCAAUCUACUUCAAGAGCUCCUAUCGACAAGUAGGUUUACGACCUCGAUGUUGGAUCAGGGUAUCCUAGUGGUGCAGCCGCUACUAAAGGUUCGUUUGUUCAACGAUUAAAACCCUACGUGAUCUGUUU